AACGAACGCUGGCGGCGGGCCUAAUACAUGCAAGUCGAACGCUCCAGCAAUGGAGAGUGGCAGACGGGUGAGUAACGCGUGGGAACCUUCCCAGUGGUACGGAAUAGCUCAGGGAAACUUGAGGUAAUACCGUAUACGCCCCAAGGGGGAAAGAUUUAUCGCCAUUGGAUGGGCCCGCGUCGGAUUAGCUAGUUGGUGGGGUAAUGGCCUACCAAGGCGACGAUCCGUAGCUGGUCUGAGAGGAUGAUCAGCCACACUGGGACUGAGACACGGCCCAGACUCCUACGGGAGGCAGCAGUAGGGAAUAUUGGACAAUGGGCGAAAGCCUGAUCCAGCCAUGCCGCGUGAGUGACGAAGGCCUUCGGGUUGUAAAGCUCUUUUGGCGGGGACGAUAAUGACGGUACCCGCAGAAUAAGCUCCGGCUAACUUCGUGCCAGCCGCCGCCGUAACAC
rnacentral:rRNA from 1 species